rnacentral:lncRNA from 1 species
UAAAACCCCAUAAAAUUCAAAAGCCAAGGUGAGUGCGAGAAAAAAGAGAGAGAAUCAUCGAGAAAAAAAAGAGAAAAGAAAAUAAACUCGAGGGUUCAAAAGAAGCACUGACCAAAGAAGGGCACUCGGUCGAAAAACAAGAAUAGCAAAGAAAAACCCGAGCUAUAAAAAAAAUAAUAGAGAAAAAGAAAUAAAAUGAACAAAUACAGUGAAAAUAAUAGUAACAUUGACUCUGAACCAAAAACCACUUAUUUCCCGUUUUGUUUGGAAUAUCCACACCAUAACCCAGACCCCAUUACAACCCGAAAGACCUCAAAAAGUGUGUGUUAUGUGUAGUUGAUAUGAAAGGAGAAACUAUUA